rnacentral:rRNA from 1 species
ACCUUCGGGUGAGUGGCGGACGGGUGAGUAACGCGUGGGAAUCUGCCCUCAGGAGGGGGAUAACGGCUGGAAACGGCCGCUAAUACCCCAUAUGCCGAGAGGUGAAAUGAAUUUCGCCUGAGGAUGAGCCCGCGUCUGAUUAGCUAGUUGGUGAGGUAAGAGCUCACCAAGGCAUCGAUCAGUAGCUGGUCUGAGAGGAUGAUCAGCCACACUGGGACUGAGACACGGCCCAGACUCCUACGGGAGGCAGCAGUGGGGAAUUUUCCGCAAUGGGCGAAAGCCUGACGGAGCAACGCCGCGUGAGGGAUGAAGGCCUCUGGGCUGUAAACCUCUUUUCUCAAGGAAGAAGAUCUGACGGUACUUGAGGAAUAAGCCACGGCUAAUUCCGUGCCAGCAGCCGCGGUAAUGCGGGAGUGGCAAGCGUUAUCCGGAAUUAUUGGGCGUAAAGCGUCCGCAGGCGGCCCUUCAAGUCUGCUGUUAAAACGUGGAGCUUAACUCCAUCAUGGCAGUGGAAACUGUUGGGCUUGAGUGUGGUAGGGGCAGAGGGAAUUCCCGGUGUAGCGGUGAAAUGCGUAGAUAUCGGGAAGAACACCAGUGGCGAAGGCGCUCUGCUGGGCCAUAACUGACGCUCAUGGACGAAAGCCAGGGGAGCGAAAGGGAUUAGAUACCCCUGUAGUCCUGGCCGUAAACGAUGAACACUAGGUGUCGGGGGAAUCGACCCCCUCGGUGUCGUAGCCAACGCGUUAAGUGUUCCGCCUGGGGAGUACGCACGCAAGUGUGAAACUCAAAGGAAUUGACGGGGGCCCGCACAAGCGGUGGAGUAUGUGGUUUAAUUCGAUGCAACGCGAAGAACCUUACCAGGGUUUGACAUCCUGCGAACCUCUUGGAAACGAGAGGGUGCCUUCGGGAGCGCAGUGACAGGUGGUGCAUGGCUGUCGUCAGCUCGCGUCGUGAGAUGUUGGGGUUAAGUCCCGCAACGAGCGCAACCCACGUCUUUAGUUGCCAGCAUUU